GAGGAAUAUGGUCAAUGGGCGGGAGCCUGAACCAGCCAAGUCGCGUGAGGGAAGACUGCCCCUAUGGGUUGUAAACCUCUUUUGUCAGGGAGCAAUUGGCGCUACGUGUAGCGUUAUCGAGAGUACCUGAAGAAAAAGCAUCGGCUAACUCC
rnacentral:rRNA from 1 species